GCAAAAUUCACAUUACUCAUUGCAUUUUUCAUUGUUUUGUUUUUUUCAUAUAUUAUUAAUAGUAAUAAUUUUCUUGUCUGUUAUAAGGAGAAAGAUGGUUAUCGUCUAAAUACAUGACGUGAGCUUGCCAACGAAAUAAAAUUUGGGAGACGGCAACAAAUCGAGACAACACAGAAAACAUGCAAUUGAAUAGUAACGAAUAUCAAUUGCAAUCGUCGAAAUUGUACUCUGUCACAUGACAUAAACAAAGGAAUAACUGUUGCUGCUGGAAAACUCGAUCAAAACACACUAUACGUCAAGACACUAGGACCGCGUAGAUCCGUUUUGUGAGCGUUGCUGGUCCGAUGCCAAGCGGCAGAUGUGACAGAACGGCUUUACUAGCUCUGCCAUUGGUUGUAUUAUUAAUAGCGACAAGCAUCGCGAUGCUCCUGUACAGUCUACGAAAACGGAUUUAGUUAACUGUCUUUUUUAAUUAUAUUAUUUUAUUUUCACU